rnacentral:rRNA from 1 species
AACGAACGCUGGCGGCGCGUCUUAAACAUGCAAGUCGAACGGCAGGAAGGGGCUUGCCCCUUCUGAGAGUGGCGGACUGGUGAGUAACACGUGGGUGACAUACCUUUUAGUUGGGGAUAGCUAUUAGAAAUAGUAGGUAAUACCGAAUGUGACCGUACCUGUUAGAGGGGUACGAGGAAAGGAGCUAAGGCUUCGCUAAAAGAAUGGCUCGCAGCCCAUUAUGCUCGUUGGUGAGGUAACGGCCCACCAAGGCGAUGAUGGGUAUCCGGCCUGAGAGGGUGAACGGACACAUUGGGACUGAGAUACGGCCCAGACUUCUACGGGAGGCAGCAGUUAAGAAUAUUCCGCAAUGGACGAAAGUCUGACGGAGCGACGCCGCGUGGAUGAAGAAUGCCGAAAGGUUGUAAAAUCCUUUUAAGCCUGAUGAAUAAGCACAGUAGGGAAUGAUUGUGCGGUGACCGUAGGGCUUGAAUAAGCACCGGCUAAUUACGUG